CGGGGUGAGUAAUGUCUGGGAAACUGCCUGAUGGAGGGGGAUAACUGCUGGAAACGGUAGCUAAUACCGCAUAACGUCGCAAGACCAAAGAGGGGGACCUUCGGGCCUCUUGCCAUCGGAUGUGCCCAGAUGGGAUUAGCUAGUAGGUGGGGUAACGGCUCACCUAGGCGACGAUCCCUAGCUGGUCUGAGAGGAUGCCAGCCACACUGAACUGAGACACGGUCCAG
rnacentral:rRNA from 1 species